rnacentral:lncRNA from 1 species
GGGAAAGAAUGUUGGUAGACCCUCAAAUAUCUGAGGGUUUUUCAAUCUUUUUUUCUUUAAGUCUGUGUAAUAAAGAGGAACUUUCCGAUGGUGAGGAGCUAGAUUACAUCGUUCUUCCUCAGUAUUUAGUAAUGUUUCUAAAAGCGUUACAGAAAAGAAAAAGAAUAAAAAAAAAGAGGAGGAUUGAGAAUCAGCAUUAUUUUAAAAUUGCCUUUGUCAGCAAGCCAAUUAAAAUCACAUUACACUCUCUACUAGUCAAGUCAUACUAGAAAAAUUCUAGAUCCAAGGAAAACAGAAAUUCUGUAUUUACCCUCCACCAGCUUGCAUUGCAUUCCACUUUUAUUACUUGAGACUCAUUGAACCAUUGUUUUGAUGCAUCUAUGAUGGCCAGAAAUCCUUCACAAUCAAAAGAAUUGACUAACUCUUCUAGUAAAAGCAAGCCUACAAGAAGCAAUUUUCUGAUGAAGCUCGUGAAUACCUCUAUAAAAUAUACAUAAAUCCAUACGAACAAACCAAAUAACAGAAAUGCAAAA